rnacentral:rRNA from 1 species
CCUACGGGGUGCAGCAGUGGGGGAUAUUGCACAAUGGGGGAAACCCUGAUGCAGCGACGCCGCGUGGGCGAAGAAGUAUUUCGGUAUGUAAAGCCCUAUCAGCAGGGAAGAAGAAAUGACGGUACCUGAGUAAGAAGCACCGGCUAAAUACGUGCCAGCAGCCUCGGUAAUACGUCUGGUUCAAGCGUUAUCCGGAUUUACUGGGUGUAAAGGGAGCGCAGGCGGCACGGCAAGCCUGAUGUGAAAGCCCGCGGCCCAACCGCGGGACUGCAUUGGGAACUACCGGGCUGGAGUGCCGGAGAGGUAGGCGGAAGUCCUAGUGUAGCGGUGAAAUGCGUAGAUAUUAGGAGGAACACCAGUGGCGAAGGCAGCCUACUGGACGGUGACUGACGCUGAGGCUCGAAAGCGUGGGGAGCAAACAGGAUUAGAUACCCUUGUAGUC